GAUGAACGCUGGCGGCGUGCCUAAUACAUGCAAGUCGAGCGAACGGACGAGAAGCUUGCUUCUCUGAUGUUAGCGGCGGACGGGUGAGUAACACGUGGAUAACCUACCUAUAAGACUGGGAUAACUUCGGGAAACCGGAGCUAAUACCGGAUAAUAUUUUGAACCGCAUGGUUCAAAAGUGAAAGACGGUCUUGCUGUCACUUAAAGUUGAUCCGCGCUGCAUUAGCUAGUUGGUAAGGUAACGGCUUACCAAGGCAACGAUGCAUAGCCGACCUGAGAGGGUGAUCGGCCACACUGGAACUGAGACACGGUCCAGACUCCUACGGGAGGCAGCAGUAGGGAAUCUUCCGCAAUGGGCGAAAGCCUGACGGAGCAACGCCGCGUGAGUGAUGAAGGUCUUCGGAUCGUAAAACUCUGUUAUUAGGGAAGAACAUAUGUGUAAGUAACUGUGCACAUCUUGACGGUACCUAAUCAGAAAGCCACGGCUAACUACGUG
rnacentral:rRNA from 1 species